rnacentral:rRNA from 1 species
UGAGACUGACUUGAGGGAGAGUGAGAGAACUUUUGUUGGUGCGAGCCUGCGCUUAGUUGCGCGGCAUGUGCUGGUAUUGGUUGUUUUGCUUUCAUUUACAACUUCUUGUUUGUGUCGAACUUCUACACACAGUGGAGUUUCUACUUUACAAUUUUUCUUUGGGGGAAGCAAUUCUCCCAGAGGUAACAAACACAAACAAUUUUGUCAUGUUAAUACAAUAGUCAAAACCUGAAAUUUCGUAACUGAGAUUUUAAAAUAAAUAUUUAAAACUUUCAACAACGGAUCUCUUGGUUCUCGCAUCGAUGAAGAACGCAGCGAAAUGCGAUACGUAAUGUGAAUUGCAGAAUUCCGUGAAUCAUCGAAUCUUUGAACGCACAUUGCGCCCCUUGGUAUUCCAGGGGGCAUGCCUGUUUGAGCGUCAUUUCCUUCUCAAACAACUCUGUUUGGUUGUGAGUGAUACUCGAUUUUAUUGGGUUAACUUGAAAUUGCUAGCCUUUUUGGCUGUGUGAUUUUGCAGACUUAGGAUUAAAUCUACUUUGUCCAGUCUAGCUUGAUACCAUCAUUGUCGUAUUAGGUUUUACCAACUUCGGCAGCUUUAGUAUUGGUUAGGUGUUAUAAAGACAAGACCGUAUUUUUGACUAUAUCUUCAGAGCUGCGCAGUCUGGCGAACAGUACUCUUAAAGUUUGACCUCAAAUCAGGUAGGAAUACCCGC